rnacentral:rRNA from 1 species
UGCGUAGGUGGCGCUGUAAGUGGGGUGUGAAAUCCCGGGGCUUAACCCCGGGACUGCAUUCCAUACUGCGGUGCUUGAGGACUGGAGAGGAGACUGGAAUUUACGGUGUAGCAGUGAAAUGCGUAGAGAUCGUAAGGAAGACCAGUGGCGAAGGCGGGUCUCUGGACAGUUCCUGACACUGAGGCACGAAGGCCAGGGAGCAAACG